UGGCCUGGAACUCCUAAUAUUGCCCACUCUGGCCUCGAACUCGCCCUUCUCCUGCUUCGGCCUCCUGAGCAGUGGGAUUCGACCUUGGCCUGAGAACAAAAGAACGAAAAAUCAGUUUUCGUGCGACGUGACGUUCUGGCCACACAGUUGGUUCCGGACCUCUCCCGAGCCUCAGUGUCAGCCACGCUGCGAUCACCUUUAGGCAUGUGCCACAGGCAUCCGAGUCAACUACCAACACCAAGUGAAGCUCUACCAUUGCUCACCGGUUUGCGCUCUUGCCGAGGCUCUGGUUGCUGGCGUGUAUCGUGGGACCAGCCUUUUCCUCCCGCUCCUGUCUGUUCCGAGAGCUAAGGUAGGUGGUGGCCUACUCCCCUGAGAAUUGAUACAGGCCAACGUCUGCUGACUGCUGGCAGGUUGCUGGGCCGACAGUGCGUGAGAUGGGACGGACAUCAAAGGACAAGCGGGAUGUCUACUACCGCCUGGCCAAGGAGAAUGGCUGGCGAGCCCGAAGUGCCUUCAAGCUGCUACAACUCGAUGAGGAAUUUCAGCUCUUCCAAGGCGUGACACGGGCAGUUGACCUGUGUGCAGCCCCGGGCAGCUGGAGCCAGGUGCUGAGCCAGAAGAUCGGGGGCCAGGGAUCUGGCCACGUGGUAGCUGUGGACUUGCAGGCUAUGGCCCCUCUACCAGGUGUGAUACAGAUUCAGGGAGACAUCACACAGCUUUCCACCGCCAAGGAGAUCAUCCAGCACUUUGAGGGCUGCCCUGCCGACCUAGUGGUGUGCGAUGGGGCUCCUGACGUCACUGGCCUCCAUGAUGUGGAUGAGUACAUGCAGGCCCAGCUCCUCCUAGCUGUGAGUAACCCUGGCAGCCCUUGUCCUCCUUUGGUCCCUCUUGGCCACCUCAGCCUCGGCUUCACCCUUAGCCAUCUGUCCUGCCCACAGGCUCUGAACAUUGCUACGCAUGUCUUGAAGCCAGGGGGCUGCUUUGUGGCCAAGAUAUUCCGAGGCCGGGAUGUGACACUGCUCUAUAGCCAGCUGCGUGUCUUCUUCUCCAGUGUACUCUGUGCCAAGCCCCGGAGCAGCCGGAACUCCAGCAUCGAGGCCUUUGCUGUCUGUCGAGGUUAUGACCCUCCUGAGGGCUUUGUGGCAGACCUAUCCAGACCCCUGCUGGACCACUCAUACGACCCAGAUUUCAACCAAUUGGAUGGUCCCACCCGCAUCAUUGUGCCUUUUGUGACCUGUGGGGACCUGAGCGCCUAUGACUCAGACCGCAGUUACCCACUCGAGCUAGAGGAUGGCUCCGGGUACAAGUACACUCCACCCACCCAGCCCCCCAUCUCACCCCCGUACCAGGAGGCCUGCACACUGAAGAAGAAGGGGCAACUGGCCAAAGAGAUUCGCCCCCAGGACUGCCCCAUCAGCCAAGUGGAUGUGGUGCCCCAGCCCACUCCUUAGCACCACACCUUCCUGGGCCUUAGAUGGAAGACAAUGAAAUAAAGUAUUCACUUAACAAAUAAAGCUGGCAAGUUGGGAGACCUGAGAAGCUGCUACUGGUCAGGAAAACCAGAACUUGAGUUGAUGAUGUGUUUUCAAAUCUCAUCAAUGGGGCGUGAGCAAACAAACCUGGCGUGGAGAUCUCAGCCACCCCCAUGCAAGUUGGGAGACCUGAGAAGCUGCUACUGGUCAGGAAAACCAGAACUUGAGUUGAUGAUGUGUUUUCAAAUCUCAUCAAUGGGGCGUGAGCAAACAAACCUGGCGUGGAGAUCUCAGCCACCCCCAUGAGGACAAGGAAAGAAAGAGAGAAGUCGGUCCUGCUGCUGUGGGGAUUUCUUGAGCCUGUAUGAGGACUCGCCUCUUCUCCAAACAUUUCCUAGCAUGUCCUGAUGAUGUCCAGGUUUCCCCCCAAAGCAGGAUUCCUGAUCUGGGUAGAUGUCAGGGGACUCUCAACUUGACAGAGGCAAUCACAGUAAAAGCAGGAUCUGCCAUUUCCCCAGAGAUGCAAGUCAGUUACUAUUUGUA